rnacentral:rRNA from 1 species
UGUCUUAAGACUAAGCCAUGCACGUCUAAGUACAAACUAAAUGAUGGUGAAACUGCAAAUGGCUCAUUACAACGGUUAUGAUGUACCCGGGAGUUCCGAUGGAUAUUUCCAGUAACACUAGAACUAAUACAUGUCCCUGCGUUUAUUAGUUUCGCACAGUCCGUCGCUGAGUCAUGGUAAACAGUUGAUCGACUCGACGUCCCGGAACAGUUUCCGCCCCAUCAGCUUCGAUGGUUGGGUAUUGGCCUACCAUUGCAACAACGGGUAACGAGGAAUUAGGGUUUGAUUUCGGAGAGGGAGCCUGAGAAACGGCUACCACAUCUACGGAUGGCAGCAGGCGCGCAAAUUACCCAAUGCAGACACUGUGAGGUAGUGACGAGAAAUAAUAAAGCGGGACUUCUGUUUCGCUAUUAUAAUGAGGAAUAACCAAAGGUCAUUCCGAUUAGCAACUGAUGGGAAAGUCUGGUGCCAGCAGCCGCGGUAAUACCAGCGUCAGUAGC